rnacentral:rRNA from 1 species
AGCGAACGCUGGCGGCAGGCCUAACACAUGCAAGUCGAACGAACUCUUCGGAGUUAGUGGCGGACGGGUGAGUAACACGUGGGAACGUGCCUUUAGGUUCGGAAUAACUCAGGGAAACUUGUGCUAAUACCGAAUGUGCCCUUCGGGGGAAAGAUUUAUCGCCUUUAGAGCGGCCCGCGUCUGAUUAGCUAGUUGGUUAGGUAAAGGCUCACCAAGGCGACGAUCAGUAGCUGGUCUGAGAGGAUGAUCAGCCACAUUGGGACUGAGACACGGCCCAAACUCCUACGGGAGGCAGCAGUGGGGAAUCUUGCGUAAUGGGCGAAAGCCUGACGCAGCCAUGCCGCGUGAAUGAUGAAGGUCUUAGGAUUGUAAAAUUCUUUCACCGGGGACGAUAAUGACGGUACCCGGAGAAGAAGCCCCGGCUAACUUCGUG